rnacentral:lncRNA from 1 species
UGACCAUUUAGGAGACAGAAAAAUUGUCAUUUGGAAAAUAGGCCCAGGACACAGUGCCAGCAAACAAACUGAGAAAAAGGGGCCUGUAAGUAAAGUGGCCUUUCUGUGGUAGAACCCGGGUCAUUCUGGGGCGAGAGUGCUGUUAGGAGUUUGGUGAGUUUACAAGAGAAUGAAAGGCCUCCACUGGAUUUUGAAUUAGGAGAUGCUUCAGAAAACUCAGGCAGAUGAAAGGGCUGAUGAAGCGGAUGGUUGCAGGGCCCGGAGCAGACAGAUGGUCAGCAACUCAAGAGGCUGCAGGCAUUAAAACAUGCAUCGGCCAGAAACAGUCCGAGGCUUCAGUGACUAGAAUCCAGUGCCCAGGCAGCCCCAGUGGUCAGUCCCCAGGUGGAUUGUGUGAAGGGUCAAAGGUGUCACACAUCCAAGCAACCGCGCUUGUCGACAGGAAGUCAACGUGCCACAGGAGGGCCUUCUUGAUUGAAAAGUUAUUAUGGAUCUAACACCACAAAUAAGGCAAAAUCUGGAACAUGCAUGAGAGUAUGAACUCUAGAGACUGAUAAUUUAUUCGCUACAAGGUUGUGUUUUGAGAGAAUCUUAAGAUCUUAGUGUUGGCGUGCGGAGCAGUUGAUGAGGCUGUGUGGGGACCUACAACGAAGGAAGAUGGAGUCCGCCUUCCCACUCCUCACAGAUUGUGCAAUCAAUGAAACGAGCAAGGCCAGCCCCCUAAUGUGGACAAAGACUCAUCAGAGGAAGCACAAAAACACAACACAAUGAAGCAAAAACUUAGAAAAUUGAGUAAGAGAACGUGACGAAAAAAAAAAAAAAAGAAACACAGGUAUCAGAAAGUCACACAUGCAAGAAGACAGAGUUGAUGGUUAAAACUGUUACAUUGACUUUGUGAGAGUGUGUCGGCUUCACUGAGCUGAUGGGAAGUCCAGAGUACAUUUAGGCACUGCAGGAUCUGAAAGGUGGUGUAUACCAACAUGGGUUGAAGUGACUGACCACAAACAUGGGCAACGCUUAGAUAUUGAAGUAGGUGACUCUUGAUGAGUUUGAAUAAAAGUCAGGAUCUUGUAUGGCUGGAAUAAAGG